AUUUUCUGCUGGGGGAGCCUUGACGGCUGAGAAGUAAACCCUUUGAACCUGAUCCGGUUUAUGCUGGCGUAGGGAAGCAGGCUGCUUUGUCA
rnacentral:ncRNA from 2 species